AUUAUUAUUAUUAGGGGUUCAAGCACGCAGUGCUGAAACCCUAUUGUAAUUGUUAAGAUUUUUAUUAUUAUUAUUAUUUUUCCGCCUUAAAACUGAACGUGCAGCCCAAACCGUAAGGCCUAGAGAGCUGAAACUUGGUCAGAUGGUAGUAGUCUUGCUCGCUACUCAGAUACAAAGAACCGGCCCAAUCGGCCUAACGGGGGCGCUACAGCGCAAAAAACUAAAAUUUUUGACAUUUUUGGCCGCAGGUCGUAAACCGUUAGCCGUAGACUCAAAAACAAGGCAUCGUUGCAAUCCUUGGGUUAGCCCGAACAAAAGUGCACAGCUGCAUUUUUUGCUCUACGACGCACCGUUUUCUCGCAAAAUCGAGCUAUAUCCGAAACCUACUUUUGCGAACUAGUCCUAGGAUUUUCAACCAAUCGGAACGAAACCACUGCAGAAAUAUUCCCUGGACACUCAAUAUCAAUAAUUAUCAAAAAAAAGUUGAAAUUUCGAUUCUUACGCGAAACAGUACGCCAAAAAGCGUCUAUGCUAACGUUAGCCAAAUGUUAUUUUGACUAUAACUCUUGAACGGAAUGAGAUAUCUUGACCAAACUUGGUACACAUAUGUAUGAGCUCAAUCUUUGGUCAAAUAAAAAAAAAUUGCGCAUCUCUGCCACUUGGGGGCGCAAUAAGAUUUAAAAAACACAUAAAUGGCUAUAACUAGGCAACCGUUGGCUCGAUCGACUUGAAAAUUGGUAUGCAGUGUCUUGGUCUGAAGGGGCACAAGUACCUAUGAGGACAUUUGCAUAUCUCAAAAAACAUGGCUGCCAUUGGCCAAACAAUUUUAAGCACCUAUUUGAAAGGGUUAACGGAUGUUGUUCGGAACGAAACUCGCUGGGUACGUUCGACUCAUGAACCUUAAGGUCUGUAAGAAUUUUGAAAGAAAUCGGCCACUAGUUGGCGCUAACGAGUUGUAUGGCUCUGUAAUCACGUGGUGUUUCACAUAUCAACACAAUAUGCAUAUCAUUUGAUAGAUCUCCUCAUAAUGCACAACUUUGCCUCAAGAACCAUUGCUGUCAAUCAAAUCGUUCAAUUGUUAUUCACAAAUAUGUUAAAAACUUACUUUUGCGAACUAGUCCUAGAUUUUUUGCCCGAUCAGAACCAAACCACUGCAGUAAUAUUCUGUGGACUCUCUAGAUCAAUAAUUAUCAAAAAAAUGUUGAAUUUUGUCCUUUGGUUAGCUGUAAAGGGGUAAUUUAGAAAAAGGGGUGUGGCCAAACAUACCCCAAAGCCUAUAAAACCUAAACGAAAACUCAAAACUUUAUGAAACUAGGUGAAAUCAUGUAACAGGUGACUCUCAACAAGGCUGCAAAGUUUCAUGGAGAUUGAUCCAUAGGUGGCGCUAUAACAGUAGAAAAGAUCUCAUAACACAAGAUUUAGAUGGUAAAUGGCCUCAAACUGUUUGAAAAUGCACAUAUAUUCACUCAAAAACACAAAAUCUUCAUAUCAUAUGAUAGAUCUCCUCAUUCUGAAAAACUUUGCCUCUGGGACCAAUUUUGUCAAUAAAUCUGUUAAUUAAAUAUUCAAGAUUAUUUGAAAAAGUUACUUUGGCAAAGUAUUCCAAGGCUUUAAGCUGAAAAUCAAUAAAACCACUGAAGUACAAUUCUCUAGACUCAGAAGGUCAAUAAUUAUCAAAAACAUGUUGAACAAUUGCAUUUGGACAACUAUAAACCAGUAAUUUUAUAAUAUGUUAUUUGCAUAGUGUACACAAAGGCCUAUUAAUACAAACAGAAAGCCCACAAAUUAUCAAAACUGUGUAAAAUAAUGCAUAAUUUCAUUCUAAACGAGCAUGCCAUAUUUAAGAGAUAUUGGGCAAAAAACACUAAGAGUUAAAAGGAUUAACACAUUGAUGUAUGAGAAAUUGCCAUUUUUAACCACUAGAU